GUAAUACUAUUGCCUAGUAAGCAUAGACCGCAUAUGUUACUACCCUUAAGGUUUAGCUAGUGAACCUUGAAACUUCCAAAUUUUGUAUUCGGUAAAAUGUAAGAAAGUUCCCUAAACAAAAUUAAUUGCACAGAUUCACAAAAUGCCUUAGAGGAUUUAAAUUCUAAGCUCCAAUUUCAUUAUAAAUACUUAUUUCAUCUUAUUUGGGAUAAAAUGUAAGAUCAUAUUAUAUUUUAGCAAAGUUUUCUAUUCUUUUAUUGCUCCAGGAAAUGUCUAAGCAUAUGUCAUGCAUAUUUAAGGAUAAUACUAAAGCAUUCUUAAAGCAUAUCAGCUCUAAUGAAUAAAAAAAUAAAAGACAAUUAUAGAUACAUUUGUACAGAAAGACAUUGAAGUAGACAAUGUCAUACAAGAAUUUAUAGUCAAGUUAUUAAAAGAAACUUUUAUAUAAAAAACUUAUUUUUUACCUACUAUACGUAAAAUAAUGAAAGACCUAGUCAAAGAGGAAUACCAAAUAACUUUAUGUGCAAGGUCAAGUGCCAGUCACUGUGAAAGGAAUAAAAUGUAAUAAUAAUAUGCAAUAGAAUAAUUUAUAUUUUAAAGAAAAUUGCAUAUUUAACUAUAAAACUAAGGUACAAAUAUAUUAAAAGAAGAAAAAUGUUAUACAACUAUGAAAUGUUAUAAGUAGAUAUAAAUGAGGAAUAAUGUUUAUAAUGAAUUUAAAAAUACUGAAAAAUCACUGGAAGAUGGGCUAUCCUGGGAAGGCUUCAAGGCAUGAGAAACUUUUGAGAGGAUAAUAGCAUAAAUAUUAUCAACAUAUGUAAUAUAUUUAUGUAAUUAUGUAGUCUGAAAUAAAUAUAAUUAAAGCAAAUUUACAAAUAUUGUUGCACUGGAAAUAUCAUAAACAUUUUGAUACAAAUCACAGUGUUGGAAAAUAAUAAUAAACAUGAAAAAAGAUUGACUUCUCUAAUAUAUUAAUAGGUUUGUAAAUAAAAAAACAUAAGAGCAAAAUACAAAUGAAAAUGACAAAAAGUUAAUAGGGAGUCACAGAAGUAGGUGAAAGAUCUCCAGCAACAAUUGAAAGCAUGCACAAUGUUACUAGUAGCUGGCAAAAUAUUGUUGAAAAGAUCAGUACUUUAAAAUUAUAAAAUUAGAAACACUUUAAUAUUCUAAUAAUCAGGUUGCUGAAAAUGUGGUGAAGUAGUAACUCUCAAAAUACUUGGAAUAUGAAUUGUUUUUUUAUGUAAAAUUAUUGGUCAUUAUGUUUCAAGAAAUUCAAAGGGGUUGAAAGUUAUUGGCCCAGAAUUUUUACUUAUAAUGCUGUAUCUAAAGAAAUAAUCUAGCACACACAAAGUCAUGAAUGAUGAUAGCCAUUACUACAUUUUGUACAACAUGUGAGGAAAUGUAAUGAAAUAGGUAUAAAUGAAUUUAAAAUAUUAAAUAUUCCCUGGAGAAAGAGAAAGAAAGAAAGAAAGAAAGAAAGAAAGAAAGAAAGAAAGAAAGAAAGAAAGAAAGAAAGAAAGAAAAAGGAAAAGAAAGAAAAGAAAGGCUAAAAAUAUGCUUGUCAGUUAUAAUUAUGAUUUUUGGGGAAAUUCUUUUUAUCUAAAUUCUAAGUAAUCUGUGGCAGUGAUUUCUUUAUAAAAGAUGUUAUGCAAUAUCCUUGGGAGCAAUUAAGUCAAAAAUAAAAAUUGGGUUUAUGUGGUACUUUUGUGUAUCAAGUGUCAGUAACAUUUGUGGAUAGACAAAUUAUAUUUCUGUUUGGGUCUAUAUCCAGUUGAAAUAAUAUAGUCAAGUUAUAUAUGUUUUACAUAUUAGAGAGAGAUUAUAGAGAUCUAGAGAGAUUAAUCAUCCGAGAGGACACUGGACAAGUAUCUUAGAUAUCACUGUUUAAAUGGAUCUUUCAUUAGGGAUGAAGCGUGUAUUUGACAAUUCAUGUCUUUCCCCAAUAUUCUAAGAUAUUUAUUCCAGUCCCGAAGAAACAGGCUUUUUAUAGCAUAUCCUUAGGUUAUAAGACAUGAAGUAUCCGAGUUAAGCUAUUUUAUAAAUGGAGGCUUUACAAAUCUCAUAGAGGGAAGAUGAAAGAGAUCUGUGAUAUAAUAUACAUGUGGGCACUGUUAGCAUCCUAUUUCCUAAACCAUUAUAGCAUCUUCAUAUAUUUCUUGUUAACUGAUUUUUAAGAGUUUUCUUUUUAACUUGAUACCCAGCAAAGAUGAAUUUUAAAUAGCACCAAAUAAAUCAAUAUUUUGAAUAUAUGUCAUAAAUACUACCAAUCAGAAUUCUAAGAAUAGUUUAUUUAACAUAGUUAUUUUUACCUGUGUAUCUUUUUAGUUA
rnacentral:lncRNA from 1 species